AUUUUCUCUGUUUGUCUUUAGAGAUGAGCUCUUGCUCUGUCACCUAGGCUGGAGUGCAGUGGCUCAGUAAUAGUUCACUGAAGCCUUAAACUCCUGGACUCAAAUGAUCUUCCCACCUCAGCUUUCUGAGUAGGGAACAUGACAUCCUCUUCCUAGGUUACACCCACCUGCAGAGGGCCCAGCCCCAUCACUGGAGCCACUGGAUUCUGAGCAUCAUUGCAGGAUGAGUAUUUUGUGUCAAGUGGAUUCAAGGGACAGUGCGAAGGAUCCAUGGCCUCAGUCAUGAAGACCCUCCCAAGAGCCAACCGUCCUGGGCACAUAUAAAUGAGUGGAGACAUGGAACUCACCCUUACAAGGCCUAGAACUUGACAGAGCAUACAAGACAGAAGCCCAAAUAACCAAGAACAGGAAGCUGAAGGUGAGAGGUGGGCCCCAAAGGAUUCUGUGAAAAUGCUUUGUGUUUGUGGAUUUAUCAUGCUGAAUGAAACCUUUGUUUUUAUUCACAGGUUAGAUACACUCUCUAUAUAGAAUCUAUGAAGGGACACUUCUGGGUUUUCUGAGGCCUAUGGUGAAAAAUGGAGUAUCUCAGGCCACUCAGGAUGAAUAAUGCAGUCACCGAGAGGGGCAGGGUGGCCACAGGUGGCCAGCAGCAGGGAUGGGCAUUGUGAGCCUUUGGGUGGGGUUGUGGGAAGUGGCAUUGUGAGCCACUGGCCUGACUUUGUUGUUUCCUGGUAACCAGGUGACAUAGGAGGCUUUGUGGGUAACAGGCAUCAGCCAGGGCCAGCAGCCUUCAGUCGGAAGCUGAUGGAGGAGGAGGAGGAGCUCCGACUACUCUCACGGAAGUAUUUGUGCCCUUGUGGCUUGCUCUGUUGCAGCACUUUGGGAGGUCAAAGAAGGUGGACCGCUUGAGUCCAGGAGUUAGAGACCAGCCUGGACAACAUGUUGAAACCCCAUCUCUACAAAAAAAAUACAAAUUAGGCACAGUGGUGGAGGUGGAUGCAUAUAGUUCCAGUUACUCAGGAGGCUGA